UGAUGGGUUGUGUCAAAAGGAACUUUCUUAGUGGGCCAACAAAUGUUAAAUAAACUGAUUACUGGGCCAAUUCCGAUCCAAGCCCAUUUUGGGUAGAGAGAUUGUUCAACAGUUUGGAUUCCGUCAGGAUCAGAAUUCAUUUCGAGAUGUGGAUGGUGAUAUUAGCAACUGUGCCGACGGCGCGCUCAGCCAAUUGUUCUACGCUUCUCGGGUUUGGAGAUGGCAAACUGGGUGAACCUCCACCGUCAGGUAAACCUUCUACCGGAAAGGGACAGAAACGUCGACGCUCGGAGUAGUUGACGGUGGAGGUUUACCCAGUUUGCCACCUCCAAACCCUAGGAAGCGUGGAUCAAUUGGCUGAGCACCCUUCUGGUGCAGCCGGCAUAGCCGGAAUAGCGAAGGCGUGGGUGCUUAUAAUAAGGAGGAAAAACAUGGUGGUGAUGGCGAUCACCAGAGGUUGCAGUUCAGUUUCGGAAGCACAGAGGAACUUUUGUGUACUCGGCUAGUCUUCUUCAUAAAUAGACUGUUGUUGCAAUUAGCAAGCAGUUUAAAUGCUUUUGCUUGUUAUCACGUCAUGCGUGAAACACGCUAGAUGGAGAUAAAUAUGCUUGGUGGGUGGACUGUAGGCGUCACUUAGUACAAGUUGCUGUGGCAGGGACAUUGCUGAAGCCAAGGAUCAGGAGUACAAGGCUUGGGCUCAUGUCCAAAGUCUGACAUCCUACCUUGAUGAACAAAACCUGGAAUUGCAAGUUAAGGCAGCAAAAUGCUGGGUGCUGUUGAAGCUGAGAUUGCUGAUUUAAGGCAGAAGUUGGAAGGUUCAAAACGGCAAUUAACGCUUGAAUGCAUGCCAUUAUCUGUGAAAGGGCUGGUCUUUUCUGUUUCGGAGAUCUUGAAAGCUAAACAUGAAGAAAACGAGACUUAUCUUUCUGAAAUACAGACAAGGACAUUCUACCACAAAAGCAGUAGCUUUUGCUUCAAGUGACCGAAAGGGAUGACUAUAAUAUCAAGGUGCCUUGUCUAGGGUUCUUCUCAUUUUGUAGGUUUUGUUCUGGUCUGAAUUUUUUUUAUCCUAAAAAUAGGGGUGUGGGCAAACACAUUUGACGAUCUUCGGGAUGAACAGUCAAAAGGCGGUGCAAAGAUUUCAUUUGCUUAUAACACAACACCUAAAUAUGUAUGACUCAAAUUACGCGCAAGUAAGUGUUCACACCCAUCUUGUUGAUCCAAAACGCUAUAUAUAUAUAUAUAGUCACAUAUAUGCCUCCUGGUUCUCCUAAGUUAUGUGCGGAGAUUGAGUAGGUAGUCUCGUUGAAUGUUUUCAUGUUAUUUAUACUAAUAAACAAGUGGGCUCAUUUUGUGAGGCAGUGGUUAUUGAUUGCAUCUUAGGCA